rnacentral:rRNA from 1 species
UACGAAGGGGGGCUAGCGUUGCUCGGAAUCACUGGGCGUAAAGGGCGCGUAGGCGGCGUUUUUAAGUCGGGGGGUGAAAGCCUGUGGCUCAACCACAGAAUGGCCUUCGAUACUGGGACGCUUGAGUAUGGUAGAGGUUGGUGGAACUGCGAGUGUAGAGGUGAAAUUCGUAGAUAUUCGCAAGAACACCGGUGGCGAAGGCGGCCAACUGGACCAUUACUGACGCUAGGCGCGAAACGUGGGGAGCAAACAGGAAUAGAAACCC